ACUCCUACGGGAGGCAGCAGUGGGGAAUAUUGCGCAAUGGGCGAAAGCCUGACGCAGCGACGCCGCGUGAGGGAAGAAGGCCUUCGGGUCGUAAACCUCUGUCUAGAGGGAAGAAACCAUUGAGGUCGAACAGGCCUCUUUGCUGACGGUACCUCUGAAGGAAGCACCGGCUAACUCCGUGCCAGCAGCCGCGGUAAUAC
rnacentral:rRNA from 1 species